UACAGAGGUCCCAAGCGUUAAUCGGAAUUACUGGGCGUAAAGCGUGCGCAGGCGGUGAUGUAAGACAGAUGUGAAAUCCCCGGGCUCAACCUGGGAACUGCAUUUGUGACUGCAUCGCUGGAGUGCGGCAGAGGGGGAUGGAAUUCCGCGUGUAGCAGUGAAAUGCGUAGAUAUGCGGAGGAACACCGAUGGCGAAGGCAAUCCCCUGGGCCUGCACUGACGCUCAUGCACGAAAGCGUGGGGAGCAAACAGG
rnacentral:rRNA from 1 species